AAGACUAUACUUUCAGGGAUCAUUUCUAUAGUUUUUAACUAGGAAAUGUGAUUAGAAAGUGUUACGUCUCCCUAAUCACGAUGAUGAGAUGUGGUGUAAUCUUCUGAGCAUGAAUCGGAUUAUAGUUAAUGCUUGUAGCAUGUGCUAUGAUCAUUGAUGAGUUUUCUCUGUUUUUCUAAGACAGUAGAGGAAGAACACACGAUCAGAGUGAU